ACCUGGGUGGCUCAGUCGGUUGGGCAUCUGACUUUGACUCAGGUCAUGAUCUCGCAGUCCGUGGGUUCAAGCCCCACAUCAGGCU
rnacentral:tRNA from 1 species